rnacentral:rRNA from 1 species
UACGGGGGAGCAAGCGUUGUUCGGAUUUACUGGGCGUAAAGGGCGCGUAGGCGGCCAGCACAAGUCAGUUGUGAAAUCUCCGAGCUUAACUCGGAAAGGUCAACUGAUACUGUGCGGCUAGAGUGCGGAAGGGGCAACUGGAAUUCUUGGUGUAGCGGUGAAAUGCGCAGAUAUCAGGAGAAACACCGGUGGCGAAGGCGGGUCUCUGGGCCGAUAUUGACGCUGAGGAGCGAAAGCGUGGGGAGCGAACAGG